rnacentral:rRNA from 1 species
GACGAACGCUGGCGGCGUGCUUAACACAUGCAAGUCGAACGGUAAGGCUCCAGCUUGCUGGGGUACACGAGUGGCGAACGGGUGAGUAACACGUGGGUGACCUGCCCUGCACUUCGGGAUAAGCCUGGGAAACUGGGUCUAAUACCGGAUAGGACCGCACCGUGAGGGUGUGGUGGAAAGUUUUUUCGGUGUGGGAUGGGCCCGCGGCCUAUCAGCUUGUUGGUGGGGUAAUGGCCUACCAAGGCGGCGACGGGUAGCCGGCCUGAGAGGGUGGACGGCCACAUUGGGACUGAGACACGGCCCAGACUCCUACGGGAGGCAGCAGUGGGGAAUAUUGCACAAUGGGCGGAAGCCUGAUGCAGCGACGCCGCGUGGGGGAUGACGGCCUUCGGGUUGUAAACUCCUUUCACCAUCGACGAAGGGUUUCUGACGGUAGAUGGAGAAGAAGCACCGGCUAACUACGUGCCAGCAGCCGCGGUAAUACGUAGGGUGCGAGCGUUGUCCGGAAUUACUGGGCGUAAAGAGCUCGUAGGUGGUUUGUCGCGUCGUCUGUGAAAUUCCGGGGCUUAACUCCGGGCGUGCAGGCGAUACGGGCAUAACUUGAGUACUGUAGGGGAGACUGGAAUUCCUGGUGUAGCGGUGAAAUGCGCAGAUAUCAGGAGGAACACCGGUGGCGAAGGCGGGUCUCUGGGCAGUAACUGACGCUGAGGAGCGAAAGCAUGGGGAGCGAACAGGAUUAGAUACCCUGGUAGUCCAUGCCGUAAACGGCGGGCGCUAGGUGUGGGUUUCCUUCCACGGGAUCCGUGCCGUAGCUAACGCAUUAAGCGCCCCGCCUGGGGAGUACGGCCGCAAGGCUAAAACUCAAAGGAAUUGACGGGGGCCCGCACAAGCGGCGGAGCAUGUGGAUUAAUUCGAUGCAACGCGAAGAACCUUACCUGGGCUUGACAUAUACAGGAUCGCGCCAGAGAUGGUGUUUCCCUUGUGGCUUGUAUACAGGUGGUGCAUGGUUGUCGUCAGCUCGUGUCGUGAGAUGUUGGGUUAAGUCCCGCAACGAGCGCAACCCUUGUCUUAUGUUGCCAGCACGUUGUGGUGGGGACUCGUAAGAAACUGCCGGGGUUAACUCGGAGGAAGGUGGGGAUGACGUCAAAUCAUCAUGCCCCUUAUGUCCAGGGCUUCACACAUGCUACAAUGGUCGGUACAGUGGGUUGCCAGUCCGUGAGGGCGAGCUAAUCCCGCAAAGCCGGUCUCAGUUCGGAUCGGGGUCUGCAACUCGACCCCGUGAAGUCGGAGUCGCUAGUAAUCGCAGAUCAGCAACGCUGCGGUGAAUACGUUCCCGGGCCU